rnacentral:sRNA from 1 species
CCUUCCGUAGGUGAACCUGCGGAAGGAUCAUUACCGAGUGCGGGCUGCCUCCGGGCGCCCAACCUCCCACCCGUGACUACCUAACACUGUUGCUUCGGCGGGGAGCCCUCUCGGGGGCGAGCCGCCGGGGACUACUGAACUUCAUGCCUGAGAGUGAUGCAGUCUGAGUCUGAAUAUAAAAUCAGUCAAAACUUUCAACAAUGGAUCUCUUGGUUCCGGCAUCGAUGAAGAACGCAGCGAACUGCGAUAAGUAAUGUGAAUUGCAGAAUUCAGUGAAUCAUCGAGUCUUUGAACGCACAUUGCGCCCCCUGGCAUUCCGGGGGGCAUGCCUGUCCGAGCGUCAUUGCUGCCCAUCAAGCCCGGCUUGUGUGUUGGGUCGUCGUCCCCCCCGGGGGACGGGCCCGAAAGGCAGCGGCGGCACCGUGUCCGGUCCUCGAGCGUAUGGGGCUUUGUCACCCGCUCGAUUAGGGCCGGCCGGGCGCCAGCCGACGUCUCCAACCAUUUUCUUCAGGUUGACCUCGGAUCAGGUAGGGAUACCCGCUGAACUUAAGCAUAUCA